ensembl:miRNA MIR631 microRNA 631
GUGAGAAGCUGGGUCAGACCUGGCUCAGACUUCAGCUACACAAGCUGAUGGACUAAGUCAGGGGCCAAGCUCUCC